AGCGAACGCUGGCGGCAGGCCUAACACAUGCAAGUCGAACGAAGCCUUCGGGCUUAGUGGCGGACGGGUGAGUAACACGUGGGAACGUACCUUUUGGUUCGGAAUAACGCAGAGAAAUUUGCGAUAAUACCGAAUGUGCCCUUAGGGGGAAAGAUUUAUCGCCAUUAGAGCGGCCCGCGUUGGAUUAGGUAGUUGGUGUGGUAAAGGCGCACCAAGCCUACGAUCCAUAGCUGGUCUGAGAGGAUGAUCAGCCACACUGGGACUGAGACACGGCCCAGACUCCUACGGGAGGCAGCAGUGGGGAAUCUUGCGCAAUGGGCGAAAGCCUGACGCAGCCAUGCCGCGUGAAUGAUGAAGGUCUUAGGAUUGUAAAAUUCUUUUAUCAGGGACGAUAAUGACGGUACCUGGAGAAAAAGCCCCGGCUAACUUCGUGCCAGCAGCCGCAGUAAUAC
rnacentral:rRNA from 1 species